GUGGUUGCUCAAAUGAGGGAAAUGUUAAAUAAGGACAACCAGAAUUUGACAUCCAACUCUUUCUUGUUGGAUGAUGAUCUGAGCAUUCCAUUCUCUACUGAGGAUAUAGACAUGGCAAUUCCUGCAAUAGAUCCUUCUGAUGUUGAACUACCAAAGUUCUUGUCAGAAUAUCCUUGUGCUCAGUUUCUGGUGCUGCAUCAAAAGUAAAUGGUCUGGUUUAGCUCUGAAAAAACUG
rnacentral:misc_RNA from 1 species